CCUUACUGUAAAAGUGAACUUCAAUUCUCGAGUAGGACCUCCUCGCCGACUGUGUGCGAAUCGCACGGACGGGAAGUGACGGCAGUUUCUUUCAGUCAGGGGGCGGGUACGCUGCGGACAGACUCUCGCAAAAUGUCUGCAGAACCGGAAGUUUCAACUCGGACAAACGACGCUUUUCGGUGCUGGUUGAAAAUGAAAAGUGGCUUCGAGGGAGCGGAUUUUUGGAGAGCGUGACUCGAGGGAGCAACUCCGACCUUCGCGAGGGUUAGCCCGCGAAACCGACGAACGUCCAUUCGCCACGACGUUCUGGCACCUGUUGUCACCGGCACAGUCUGCUGGCAGUCGCAUUGAGCACAGUUUCUUGGCGUCAACUAGAGAGAACCGAGUGUCUAGAUUGUCAGGAUCUCGGAGAGCAAGUGGCUUACAGGAAGCUCCAUCACGUUCUUUCACGAUGUGCUGCGGUCUUAUAACGAUAAUGGAUUUUGGCAUGGUCUAUUUAAAGCUACUGCUAUACAUUUCAGUCCUGUUACUGUCGAUGCUAUCUUGACGUUCUUUAAUCAUUUCCGUAUUAAAAACCCAGAGGAGGCCGCUUGGAACCCCGAUCAGAUGUAGCCCAUUCCUCUUAAUGGAGAAUUUCGUGUUGGAGGGAUCUUCUAAAGCCAGGGUCCGUGGAGCGUUGUUGCUGGCGGUGUUUCACGGCCAUGUCGCUGUUUCGAACCUGGAAAAUUCCUUGGCAGUCUAGUGCACGACGUUUCGGUUCUCCCGAGAUACAGAUGGCGCAGCACAUUUUUUUUAGGAACAACGAGUGCCGUCGAUGUGCUGUUACGGUGAGUUUUCGUCUCUAACAGCCCGUUGGCAGAUUGUGCCUGCACCUACGAAGUGAACCAGGUGGUCGCAUGUUUUCCUCGAGGACUCACUCGGGAAGGACAGUGGUCGGGCGAUGUUAGAAUGAGACUGGAAGUACGCUUGGUGGCCCGUGAUAUGGGGUGAUCUCUGUCUUUCUCCCUUUGCUGUCCUUCGUAGAUGUUUUUUACUGUGCUCCGUAGCUGUUUAAUGAAGUCCACACAAAAGCAGACGCAUAAGAGUGUUAUGAUGCGAGUUUCCUGCUCGAAUGUUUGUGAUUCCUGCGCGAAACCGGAACCGAAUGUUCCACGUUGGUGCAGAACUGCAGACUUCGAAGAUCUAUUUCGCGCUCGAAAAUCACAGAAGAGCUUCCGCGUUCAUUGGUCAAACUUGUGUUUUGAGUCCGUGCCUCAGUAUCUGAUUCAAGUGAAUAACAAACAGCGGGAAUUCAUUUCCCCUGUACGAUUUGUACCUACUGGACCACUCGGUUCACGCUGAGCUGUAGCCUACAUCGAGACUAACG
rnacentral:lncRNA from 1 species